AGGCCACCUGACAAGUGAGACACCACGCUCACAAAGGUGUUUUUCCCAGGGAAAGGCCUGUCUCUUGCACGUUAGGUGUGCCGAUGCCUGCAAUUUCCCCAAAUGCCAGGAACUUGACUUCAUCUUUUGUAAUAAUGGCAAGCUCUACUCGUGUUCUCCCCU
ensembl:snRNA U1 U1 spliceosomal RNA